GACGAAUGCUGGCGGCGUGCUUAACACAUGCAAGUCGAACGGAAAGGCCCUGCUUUUGUGGGGUGCUCGAGUGGCGAACGGGUGAGUAACACGUGAGUAACCUGCCCUUGACUUUGGGAUAACUUCAGGAAACUGGGGCUAAUACCGGAUAGGAGCUCCUGCUGCAUGGUGGGGGUUGGAAAGUUUCGGCGGUUGGGGAUGGACUCGCGGCUUAUCAGCUUGUUGGUGGGGUAGUGGCUUACCAAGGCUUUGACGGGUAGCCGGCCUGAGAGGGUGACCGGCCACAUUGGGACUGAGAUACGGCCCAGACUCCUACGGGAGGCAGCAGUGGGGAAUAUUGCACAAUGGGCGGAAGCCUGAUGCAGCAACGCCGCGUGCGGGAUGACGGCCUUCGGGUUGUAAACCGCUUUCGCCUGUGACGAAGUGUGAGUGACGGUAAUGGGUAAAGAAGCACCGGCUAACUACGUG
rnacentral:rRNA from 1 species